UACGAAGGGGGGCUAGCGUUGCUCGGAAUUACUGGGCGUAAAGGGCGCGUAGGCGGACAGUUAAGUCGGGGGUGAAAGCCCGGGGCUCAACCUCGGAAUUGCCUUCGAUACUGGCUGUCUUGAGUACGGGAGAGGUGUGUGGAACCUCCGAGUGUAGAAGGUGAAAUUCGUAGAUGAUUCGGAAGAACACCAGUGGCGAAGGCGACACACUGGCCCGUUACUGACGCUGAGGCGCGAAAGCGUGGGGGAGCAAACAGG
rnacentral:rRNA from 1 species